rnacentral:rRNA from 1 species
UUGGAGGGCAAGUCUGGUGCCAGCAGCCGCGGUAAUUCCAGCUCCAAUAGCGUAUAUUAAAGUUGUUGCAGUUAAAAAGCUCGUAGUUGAAUUUCGGAAUCAGUACGCUGGUCGUGCCUUCGGUAUGUACUGGUGUCACUGAUUCCUCCCUUCUGACGAACCGUCAUGCUAUUAAUUUAGUGUGGCGGGGAAUCAGGACUGUUACUUUGAAAAAAUUAGAGUGUUUAAAGCAGGC